GUGCUAAUCAGCUGAUGUGCUCGCACCAUUUAUAGUGCUGCAUGUUAAUACUUUGGGAGGUUAACAGUGUAGAUUAAGAAGCACUGCACCCUUAGACUGUGGAGGAGUACUGUGAUGUAUCCCAUAAUCCUUAUGGACAGAAGAAUUACACAGGACUGGGAAUUAUUGUUAUUUUUUUGAAAAGCACACAAGCAUACAUGAUAAUAAUUUCAUAUAGAUGUAUUUAAACAUGACAUUUU